rnacentral:rRNA from 1 species
GACGAACGCUGGCGGCGUGCUUAACACAUGCAAGUCGAACGGAGUGGCGAACGGGUGAGUAUUACGUGAGUAACCUGCCCUCAACUGUGGGAUAAGCCUGGGAAACUGGGUCUAAUACUGCAUAGUUGGGGAUGGGCUCGCGGCCUAUCAGCUUGUUGGUGGGGUGAUGGCCUACAAAGGCGGUGACGGGUAGCCGGCCUGUGAGGGUGGUCGGCCACAUUGGUAUGGGGAGACGGCCCAUACUCCUACGGGAGGCAGCGGUGGGGGAUAUUGCACAAGGGGCGCCAGCCUGGUGCAGCGACGCCGCGUGAGGGAGGAUGGCUUUCGGGUUGUAAACCUCUUUCGGUACAGAACGGGUAUGUGCAGAAGAAGCGCCGGCUAACUACGUGCCAGCCGCCGCGGUAAUAC